GCCGGCGUAGCUCAGACGGCAGAGCGCCUCACUUGUAAUGAGGAUGUCGGGGGUUCGAUUCCUCUCGCCGGCUCCA
rnacentral:tRNA from 1 species